rnacentral:lncRNA from 1 species
AAACAUGGCUGUGACGUUUGAAUCGUUUGAAUAGUACAGACCCAGCAUACCAAGGUGUCUGCCCACAGAAUUCACUUGCAUCUAGCACUUAGGAAUAUAUCUAUUCCAGUAUUACUUGUCUGAAAUCAUGGUGGACAUGGUGACAUUAGACUAAAUGGCAGUCUGGUGUUACCAUGAAACAUGAACUUUCUCAGUGAGUUCUAACUGCUUACUGGAGGUACCCAGUAGGACUUAUUGUCCUUAAGAACCAAGUACUUUACUAGUGUAGGAGAUGCUCUACGACACCCUGAGGUUGUGUUAGGUGUGUUCUGAUCCUUUCUUAAUUUUAUACAAGUCAAUUCAGACCUCUUCUCUGAACAAAAGAAAGAGCAAUUUUUGUGCCUCUUUUUAAAAUAUAUAUAAAUGUGCAAUUUAUAGGCAACAAACACUACAGUUCCUCUCUCUAAGCUCCUAAACUGCCAUUUUCCUAGUUGUAGCAAUUCUAGUAGUUCUGCUGGUUGGACAGGCUCCGUGAGGAGGGAGGCGGGGUGGAACAGCAUCUAGUGAGUGCGGUCACCACGACUGGAGUGAGGCACUGCCUACACAAACACUAAAGCAAUUAUGAAGUUUGAUGUCCUUUAAAAAAAUAAUGUAAGAGUAUCUGGGUUUUAUCAUAUUAAAUUUUAUUUUAUACAGACAUGAUAACAUUUUUUAAACUCCUUAAUAAGGGACUUUGAUACUCCAAAUGUAACCCUUAUGAGAACAAUAUCCGAUGUGAGAUUGUAUCUUCUUUCCUUUUUGACCUCAUGCUUUUUAGUAUCUGAUAACUUUUAUAGAGUAAGCCCCGGGGUGCAUCGUGUAUUUAUAAAUACCUUACCCCGACCUGUCUCUGUUCUGCUUCUCUGGGAUGGCUUACUUGUGUUUAUAUCCAUAAAAGGGGUUUGCACUUUCCAAGUCUGUUCUUGCUAAACGGCUCAUAGGUUUGCUCCCAGAAGCACUCAUGCUCCAAACUUGCCUUUGCUGUGCCAGUGCAAGGGUUUCUUCCUGUGCCAUUGUGGCCUGGGUCUUAGAAUGGAGUGUUAAGAAAACAGAAAGUGUACAUACACUGUCCUUUCAUGUCCUAUGUCAGUGACAUUCCAAAAGGCACUGUGCUUACAGAGUCUGAAGCUGGUAGUUGUUAGCUUUGAAAUAUGAUUUUGGUAUACAGUAUUUGUGGUCGAUUUUAUUCAGCCCAGAAAUCAAGGACCUAAAGCAGCAUGGGAUAAUAGUGGUAUUUCCUAACCUCAGGAGGAAGAUGAGAUUCUGAUUAUCAGUGUAAAGCUUUAGAAGGUUGGCCGGAAAGAGCUAGAAAUGAUAGUGCCAGGUCAGCAUAGGCUGUGCCUUGGAGGCCUCACUGGGCUGCCAGUGUAGCUGCCUGUGCCUGGCUGCUUAGGACAGGGCCAAAGCUCUUCACUACCCGUGUGCCGCAGCCACCGCUGACUUGAGUCAAGCUGUCUUGAGUCAGGCUUGGAGAGCAGAGGGGGGUAGGGUUAUCUUCACUUGCUCUGCGAGCCCUACUCUAUUUUUAAUUCUCAAAAAUGACCUUUCCUAAGCUGUAGAAUAGACUGAGUUUUCUGUGUGUUAUAUAAUUGACAUUAUAUAUGUACAUAUAUAAUGUUUUAUUUAUAUAUAUAUGAGAUGCACACACACACACACACACACACACACACACACACACACAAAGUAGGAAGUAUUUGAAACUAAAGACCUAAGAAGGGCCCUGCAGCCCGCUGCUUUCUGUCAGUGUCUCUCGCUGCAGUGUUUGCAGAAGUGUGUGUAGGUGAUGUGGAUCUGAGAUUCUGAGGCGCUCUCCGUCUGCUCAUCUGAAGUACUCGGGGACUGGUAGGCAGCUUCUCUGCAGUAGUUCCUGUUCUGAGCACGUUCUUACAGGAUGUGUUCUGUCAGGGUCAAAGCCAGACUAGUUUGAAAUCCUAACGUUCUCUGUUCAGAACAUAGUGCCUGGCUCUCCAGGAGCCACUGCUGACCUUGUCAAGACAACACUCAUCUUGCCUUCGUCCGCACAGAGCUAAGAUGCUGCCAGCCAGGUACCAUGUCCUGAUUGGAGAGGAAAACAAGUUGCCUUUGUCUCUAAGCUCUAACAACUUGCAGUGUCUCUGUUCCUCAGGAGAUGACAAGGCUUUGCUUUAUUUCUAGACUUGAGUUCCUUUUCACUGCAUCCGACCACCCCAUACUCUGCCAAGUUGCUAAGGGCAGCACCAGAAGUGAUGGGAUGGCGAGGUCCUUCAAAGGAGUGCCCACACUUGGUCUCUGCUUAUAUUCAUAACAGAACGGUUACAAAAAGGGUUGGUCCAUUUUCAGAUGGACCAACAGGACGAAUGUAGACUGCUCUGCAGUGGGUUAGCAAAUACAGAAAGCUGGGCAUUUGUAUGAACUGAAAUAUCACAGCUUUGACCUCGGGGAGGUACUGGAAAUCUUGGGAGAAAGGGAGGGAAAAGCACACUAC